GACGAACGCUGGCGGCGUGCCUAAUACAUGCAAGUAGAACGCUGAAGGAAGGAGCUUGCUCUUUCUGGAUGAGUUGCGAACGGGUGAGUAACGCGUAGGUAACCUGCCUGGUAGCGGGGGAUAACUAUUGGAAACGGUAGCUAAUACCGCAUAAAAUUGAUUAUUGCAUGAUAGUCAAUUAAAAGGUGCAACUGCACCACUACCAGAUGGACCUGCGUUGUAUUAGCUAGUUGGUGGGGUAACGGCUCACCAAGGCGACGAUACAUAGCCGACCUGAGAGGGUGAUCGGCCACACUGGGACUGAGACACGGCCCAGACUCCUACGGGAGGCAGCAGUAGGGAAUCUUCGGCAAUGGACGGAAGUCUGACCGAGCAACGCCGCGUGAGUGAAGAAGGUUUUCGGAUCGUAAAGCUCUGUUGUAAGAGAAGAACGAGUGUGAGAGUGGAAAGUUCACACUGUGACGGUAUCUUACCAGAAAGGGACGGCUAACUACGUG
rnacentral:rRNA from 1 species